CGCGGCCUAUCAGCUUGUUGGUGGGGUAAUGGCCUACCAAGGCGACGACGGGUAGCCGGCCUGAGAGGGCGACCGGCCACACUGGGACUGAGACACGGCCCAGACUCCUACGGGAGGCAGCAGUGGGGAAUAUUGCACAAUGGGCGAAAGCCUGAUGCAGCGACGCCGCGUGAGGGAUGACGGCCUUCGGGUGGUAAACCUCUUUCAGCAGGGAAGAAGCGGAAGUGACGGUACCUGCAGAAGAAGCGCCGGCUAACUACGUGCCAGCAGCCGCGGUAAUACGUAGGGCGCAAGCGUUGUCCGGAAUUAUUGGGCGUAAAGAGCUCGUAGGCGGCUUGUCACGUCGGGUGUGAAAGCCCGGGGCUUAACCCCGGGUCUGCAUCCGAUACGGGUAGGCUAGAGUGUGGUAGGGGAGAUCGGAAUUCCUGGUGUAGCGGUGAAAUGCGCAGAUAUCAGGAGGAACACCGGUGGCGAAGGCGGAUCUCUGGGCCAUUACUGACGCUGAGGAGCGAAAGCGUGGGGAGCGAACAGGAUUAGAUACCCUGGUAGUCCACGCCGUAAACGUUGGGAACUAGGUGUUGGCGACAUUCCACGUCGUCGGUGCCGCAGCUAACGCAUUAAGUUCCCCGCCUGGGGAGUACGG
rnacentral:rRNA from 1 species